rnacentral:lncRNA from 1 species
CGGAGGGUUAAGAUGGGAGUUAGCGGGGCGUCGGUGACGUAGUUCCUCCUGCGCUUUGUUCCAAGAUGUGGGUCAGGCGCUUUCGGUGAGGGUGAUUCAAGAACCCAUUAGGAAUUUCCUCACCAAACCCAAGGAAGACAUCAGGCAAGCUCUGAUGGGCAGAUCCUUUGGAGUGAGGCGACUGUGCACGAGGGAGUGAGUGAUUCCUAUCCCUCCAGUUAAUUAAUAACCAAGGAUCAUGUGACCACUUCUCUGAGGGACCUGAACAGUCAGAUGAUGCUGGCGAAUUAAAGGAAUACAAUCUCCCUAGGUAAAAACAAAAAAAAACCAAAAAAAACACAAACUCUCUCUCUCUCUCCUCUCCUCUCUCUCCUCCUCUCUCCUCUCUCUCUCUCUCUCUCUCUCUCUCUCUCUCUCUCUCUC